UCCAACAUUUGUUGUGAUUUUAUUUGGGUC
rnacentral:piRNA from 1 species